AUGACCUUAAACAACUUAAUUUCUAAAGUCAGAAACUUCAACGAAUUACUGGAAAUAAUGCAUUAUGAAUCAACUUCUGACUCCAAUGUGAAAGUUGUAUCUUUUUCUCCCAACUUUCCAAUGAAUAUUAGAACGCGUCGAUCUGAUUCUCAUAGCUCAAGUUAUGAGUUUUUUUCAUUGAAAGUUGUUAAUGCU